rnacentral:tRNA from 1 species
GCGCCCGUAGCUCAGUGGAUAGAGUGCUUGCCUCCGGAGCAAGAAGUCGCUGGUUCGAAUCCAGCCGGGCGCG